CCCAUCUGGGCAGAGGGAUCCUUCUCUUGGCAUCACUGGUUGAAGGCUGCAGGACCAAGUCUCUUUCUGGGUGUCUCUGAAAUGUGUGGAGUCCCUAAAUGAAGCAGUGGCAGGAAGAAUUAAAACAACUUU